rnacentral:lncRNA from 1 species
UUGCAUUCUGCAUUCUUGCAGGUUCUCUAAGUGUUAUUAAAAUUUGUUCCCCUGGACUAGAGAUCCCCCAGCAAAACUUUCAGGACUCUUGUGUACAAGAUAUUCUGACCUGCUGAUUUUUUCUUGGUUUUUCUCUUAUUGAAUACUCCUUAGCAGAGUAUCUUUUUCUACUUCUUCCCCAAAGCACAACUUGGUUACACAGAACUCUGUAUUAUUUGGAGGGGCCAGAUUUAG